rnacentral:rRNA from 1 species
AUUGAACGCUGGCGGCAGGCCUAACACAUGCAAGUCGAGCGGAUGCAGGGAGCUUGCUCCUGGAUUCAGCGGCGGACGGGUGAGUAAUGCCUAGGAAUCUGCCUGGUAGUGGGGGAUAACGUCCGGAAACGGGCGCUAAUACCGCAUACGUCCUGAGGGAGAAAGUGGGGGAUCUUCGGACCUCACGCUAUCAGAUGAGCCUAGGUCGGAUUAGCUAGUUGGUGGGGUAAAGGCCUACCAAGGCGACGAUCCGUAACUGGUCUGAGAGGAUGAUCAGUCACACUGGGACUGAGACACGGCGCAGACUCCUACGGGAGGCAGCAGUGGGGAAUGUUGGACAAUGGGCGCAAGCCUGAUCCAGCCAUGCCGCGUGCAGGAUGAAGGCCUUCGGGUUGUAAACUGCUUUUGUACGGAAAGAAAAGCCGUCUUUUAAUACAGGAGUGUCAUGACGGUACCGGAAGAAUAAGCACCGGCUAAGUACGUG